UAAGUUGGUAGUGAAAGCGUUCGGCUCAACCGGAUAUACAUUACCAAAACUGCUUUAGCUAGAGGAUGAGAGAGGUUAUUGGAAUUCCCUGUGUAGGAGUGAAAUCCGUAGAUAUGGGGAGGAACACCGAUGGCGUAGGCAGAUAACUGGCUCAUUUCUGACACUAAGGCACGAAAGCGUGGGGAGCAAACAGGAUUAGAUACCCUGGUAGUCCACGCCGUAAACUAUGGAUGCUA
rnacentral:rRNA from 1 species